rnacentral:rRNA from 1 species
UCGAACGGGUGAGUAACGCGUGAGUAACCUGCCCUGGAGUGGGGGACAACAGUUGGAAACGACUGCUAAUACCGCAUAAGCCCACGAUCCGGCAUCGGAUUGAGGGAAAAGGAUUUAUUCGCUUCAGGAUGGACUCGCGUCCAAUUAGCUAGUUGGUGAGGUAACGGCCCACCAAGGCGACGAUUGGUAGCCGGACUGAGAGGUUGAACGGCCACAUUGGGACUGAGACACGGCCCAG